rnacentral:rRNA from 1 species
UACGAGGGGGGCUAGCGUUGUUCGGAAUCACUGGGCGUAAAGGGCGCGUAGGCGGCUUUAUAAGUCGGGGGUGAAAGCCUGUGGCUCAACCACAGAAUUGCCUUCGAUACUGUAGAGCUUGAGACCGGAAGAGGUAAGUGGAACUGCGAGUGUAGAGGUGAAAUUCGUAGAUAUUCGCAAGAACACCAGUGGCGAAGGCGGCAUCCUGGACCGGCAUUGACGCUGAGGCGCGAAAGCCAGGGGAGCAAACGGG